CCAUUGGCCUUCCUCAAGGCCAUUAAGUAUAUAAAUUGAUAAAAAAU
rfam:Acyrthosiphon pisum strain LSR1 Contig41433, whole genome shotgun sequence.